rnacentral:lncRNA from 1 species
AGUAAACAUUGUUUUAGACACUGAACCCACUCGCUCGAGUUUUAAAUAUUUUCUUCAAGAGUGAGGAAUAUGACUAUUUCUGCAAGAUUCCAAUUUGGUCUUAGUUUCUGUAAAAAUAAAAAGAAAGCCAUGAUGUGCUCUUAAAAACCUAUUCCUUAGGCGUUUGCUAUCUGCUUUCUAUUUUGUGAGCCAGUGAGAACAAAACCAACGCCCUUAUGGACACAGGACUUCAGUGUGAAAAUAGAUGAGGUCAAGAGUGAAAACAGAACAAAGGUGAGCCUGAGGCCACUUAGUGCCUGGCAACCACAUUCUUCCUGGCCUGCCAACACCCUCAGGCUACAAGGUGUUCACUGGCCCCCAGCCUCCCAUGGGUGCAGGAGUAUCCUAACCUUACAAAUUCGAGAACUGACUUAAAGGGCGGAGUUUCAGACAAGUCAGUGACAUUUAUUUUGGAAUAUAUCAAGAAAACAUGACCCCGAGUCCUGCUUUGCUUCAUAUAAGGUCCAGCCCAUGGAAACGCCUUUGAGGGAAUUUGAUAAAGUGCAGCUGCAUUUUCCUUCUCUAGCUACACUCAUGUCAAAGCAGAUAACGCUACACUGGGCUUAACUCUGAGACAGUAGUAACAAUAAUAGCUUUGUUUAUUGAUCUCAUGUUAGGAUGAUAUAGCACCAAGGAUCUCCCCCAUGGCAUCCAAUUUAUUACUCAUAAAAUAACUUCUUGUGAGAUUUGCCCAUUUGCUUUUAUUUAACUAGGAAGAACACUAUGAUUAGAAACGUUCAGUCACUUGGUACCAAAACAUAGUAUGUGAUACUGAAAUUUGUACCGGUUACAUCUUUCUUUUUCUUAAAAAAAAAAAAAAAAAAAAAAAAAAAAAAAAAAAAAAAAAACUUGCUACAUUUUUAUUUGUUUACUUGUGUGCAUGCUACAAAGUGCUUGUGGAGGUCAGAGGCCAACUUGUAGGGGGUCAGUUCUUUUCUUCCACUGUGUGGGUUCCAGACACUCAGGUUGUCAGGCUUAGUGACAAGCACUUUCAUCAGCUGAGUUAUCCCACUACACACACACACACACACACACACACACACACACACCCUAGUCUUGCUACUCAGUCUAGGUUGGCCUUGAACCCCAGUGCUGCUAGGAUCAAGGGUGUGCAUCACCACACUCAGCGCAGGCACAUUCUCCUUCUGUAUUGUGCUUACGGUGUCCAUAUUGCUUUGUGUUUUGCUUGCUUUUCUUCAAAGGCUUCUGGCAUUUGGACAGGGACAUCAGUCUGCCUUCUGUUAUCAUGGUUUCGACGCAGACAAAACCUUCACAGACCAUGAAAAUCAACACAACAGAGCUUCUCGUUUUCCUUCCAGUGACCCCUUCCCAAAGUGGGCUUCCAUGACUCCAUGGGUGAGGUGAGAAUUGCACAAGCUGCCCAGCCAUGGAGUUACUUUCAAACUUGACUCUGCUUGCUUCGACUCUUGGGAUUGGUUGCUGUGGCUGACGCAUCACCAUUUAUUGGUGCCAGCAAUGUGGUUCAACUUGGUAAGUAUGGUCGUGGGAUUUUAAUCCUCUUUUCUUGGUUUGCUGUUUGUUUUGAUGCUCUGAUUUUUGCUUUUUGAGACAGAGUCUUGCUGUGUAAUCCAGGCUGACCUCACAUUUGCAAUUCUCUUGUUUCUUCCUCCCAGGGGCUGAAAUGACAGAGCAAAGGGCAAAGCCCAAACCAUAGCCUGCCAGACUCAACAGUAUUUGUCCUUGUUUACCUCUCUUAGUCAUCUAAUCAUCUCAAACUGGCUUUUCUUGGCUGCCUAUGCUUUUCUUCAAAUGUACCAAAUACAUCCCCACUAAGGGCCUCUAACCUUGCUGUCUCCACUUUCCAGAACUGACUUCCUUGUCCCCAUGUUUUUUCCAAGUCUCUGCUUCAAAUGCUUAAAUGCUACUGCCUGGACCUCUGGCCCCUCUUCCUUCAAGCCUACCUUGUCUCUCUGACCCACUUUAGUUUUCCUCCUAGUAUUUUCCACUGAUAUAUUUCAUAUCUUCUAUUUUAUUUCCAAUGUGUUCUACCAAAAAGGUAAAGUUGGAAAUGCCAAAGCAUCGAUUUUGUUCACUACCUAAAACUUCAUCACACAGAAUAGGGCUAGACCCUCAGUGUAACUAUUUGUGGAGAGAACGGUGGCACAACACUGUGUCCACUAGAACCCUGGCAACAUUAUCUCUUUCCUGCCAGCACUGCCAGGACACCUAAACUUCAGGUCUUCCCUCAUGGCCCACAUGCCAUAUUGACAUUUUCCCAUUAGUCAUUAAGGUGCUGGCUCACUGGUGCCGUUGAGGACCCUCCCUGCCAUCUUUAGUCAAUAGCCAAACCUUUAUACGUAGCCAUCUUAUGAUCCCAAGAAAACCACCAUGGUUCCAGAGUUAAUUUAAAGUAAUAUAUUGCUUCACACACAGAGAGAUUCCUUACAUUAGUGUAUUUUUCUUUAACUGGGGAAGAAAACUCUUUCCUCUGGAAGGUUCUUGGCAAGUCUCCCUUCCCCACGACAAAGGCCAGUAUCUUAGAGCAAAGGAGGCUGGGAAAGCAAGGUGCUAGUGUCAGCUGCCUCCGUGACUGAGGCUGGGAAGUGUGGUGGAGAGUACGGACAGUUGCUGAAGAGGGAGCAAGAGCAGCUACAGAAGUGCAUGUACUUUUAACUGCAGAAACAAAUCCUUUUAUUUGUGUUCUCUUGCCAUCUUACAGACUUGAUUUUUGCUUAAUGGAUAUCAGUUACUUAUUCUGUAUCCAUGGGAAUAAUAUUUGGACAUUUUCUUCUGUUUCUAUUGUGCUCUACAAAUAUGAAUCCAUUAGUGUCUUCAGAAUGUUCUCAGGACUAAUGCGUUCAUACUUAUAAAACACUUGUGGCAAUACUUUGAUACAGUAGCCUAUGAAGCAAUAUGUAUUAUAAAUCGAGUUGAACUUUAAAUAAGCUCAAUCAGUGCUAUCAUACUAGAAAAUAUCUGUUAUCUGUAUAUCUACCAUCUAUCAUCACCUAUCCAUCCAUCCAUCCAUCCAUCCAUCCAUCCAUCCAUCCAUCCAUCUAUCAUAGUUCUAGAACUCAAACUCAGGGAAUUGUAUAUGCUCAGCAAGCUUUCUGUGAUUAACAUCCUAACCCUUGGUUUUACAAGUGGUGAUCUCAUUAUAUGGCCCAAGCUGGCUUGAACUUAACAAUUAUCCUGCCUCAGCCUCCUAAGUGUUGGGAUUAUAAGUAUCACAAUGUGUAGUGUAAAGAUGUCUUACUUUAAGAAGCACUAGACUGUCAAAGAAAAUCUCUAAUUUUUAGAAAGAUGUUAAUUCAUCUUUAAGUGAUUCUCCAGAACUGUGGCCAUAUUCAUGGGAUCACAAGAAGAUGGGCAAAAGUAAGGGAUUUCUCUACGUGAGCAUCCCUUUCUGAUUGUUGGUUUUGUUUUGUUUUGUCUGCCUUUUCAUAUUUUAACACGAGAUUCCAGCCUAGCCUGCUAGGAAAGGGUGUACAUCCUCUGGGGAGCAGAGAUUCCCAUGGGAGAGAUGUCUUUUUCAGCUGUGGAAUUCCAGUGUCGUGCAUAGAGGUCUUUUCUUCAGAUCCAUUCAGUUUCUGCUCAGAACACCCAGUGUCCAAUUCUGGUACUAGUGUGGGCAGAGAGUGGUAAUAUGUCUAGCUGAUUGGAUAGGGCACUGGCCAUCUUAGAACCUCAUGCAGAGAGUAUAACCAAAGCAGUUUUACUUAAUAGCCACCCUUUAGACAAUUUUCUUUUCCUUCCUUCCUUCCUCCCUCCCUCCCCCUCUCUCUUUCUCUCUCUCUUUCUUUCUUUCUUUCUUUCUUUCUUUCUUUCUUUCUUUCUUUCUUU